CUAGUUGAUUAAAAACGUUUCAAUAUUAGCUGAGCCGCCUCGUUCGUUGAUACAAUGUUGGCUAUGUGGGCAGGAUUGAAAUAAACCCAACUCAAUGAAAACUGUUACUAUAUUCCUAUAUUCUCGCAAAUCGAUGCUGACUGUGUGACCAACAUGAUCAUAUUUACAUUUUGUCGUUCAUUCUGACACUAGAAUAAAUGUUUCUGACUCAUAUCGAUACCACAUAGACCGUUUUCGACUAGAGAAGUUGUUUGUUUUUGGUUCAGUUGCCUUUUAAAUAUGUUUCGAAUGGUCAGGAAAAAAAGUUGUCUCACAGACAGGGUAUCAAGGAAGAAGCCGCAGGAGGCCUAAGAAAUAUUUUAUUUGGCAAAUUGCGAAUAUCAUGUCUGUGCUCUAGAAAUUAGAAUGUACAGUUAGGCCCAUUUGAAUUAAUCUCCUAUGAGACGGGCAAAUCAGGAGACCGCCUGAAAAAAGAGGCGCCAAAACAGCAGAAUUGAGGUAGUGCUUGCCCAUGCCCUCCAAAUCGUUGACAACAUUUGUUGAAUAAUUUCACCAUUGUUUUUUGUUUUGUUUAAUACUUUUGGAAUUAUAAACGUUUAAUGUUUAUCAAUUACAACCAAUGUUCUUAUAAUUUGGUGCAUGGUGAGUUUGGCAGAGAAAUUAUACAAGCCAUGAGUGUUGGAGAAGAUAAGAAAACGGGUGCAUUGCUGAACAAAGAACUAUUUGGAAGAAAUUCAAGAUUUCAAGGACGCACGGAUUUGAAUUUAACUGGAGAGGCUGAGAGCUGAGGGGAAGAGUGACAUAAAGAGGAGAGAAGUUCAUUAUCCAGCUGAAAAGGAAACCAAUGGCUUUCACAGUCUCCAUGGGAACCGGCCUUUCUUUUGCUGUCAAACCUAUGAUAAGAUCCUGCUCUUCUGUCAGCCUGCUGUGGAAUCCUGCUCUGUCUGUCAGCCUGCUGUGGGAUCCUGGUUUGUCUGUCAGCCUGCUGUGGGAUCCUGGUUUGUCUGUCAGCCUGCUGUGGGAUCCUGGUUUGUCUGUCAGCCUGCUGUGGGAUCCUGCUCUGUCUGUCAGCCUGCUGUGGGAUCCUGCUCUGUCUGUCAGCCUGCUGUGGGAUCCUGCUUUGUCUGUCAGCUUGCUGUGGGGCUCGUGGCCUGGAUAUGAGGGGGCAACUAAGGGCCUACCACCAUGAUGACCUCUGGCCAGCUCCUGAACUCUGGAUGGACUCUGAUGCCUUUACCCACACAGGCAUGCACUUAAAUACACAAGAGGGCAAACACACAUACGCACACACGUGGACUCUCUCUCUCUCCCUCUCUCUCACUCACUCACACUAUCGCAGUGAGUUUAUUUAGUUCUCCUCUGUGCACCCAUUCCCUUCAGGAGGUGGGUCAUAAGAUUGUGGUCACAGGGAAGCUGCAAGUAGGGAAGUUGUAGGGAGUGUAAGAAAGGUAGGAGGUGAAAUGUUAACAAAAUCGUAUAAAAUCCAGAGUUUGAUAAAUUCUCACAUUUUAAAUUAACAUAGGUGUCUGUGGCUGUGGAAGUCCUUUGUUGGAGGGCCCAUUUUUUCCACUGGAGUUGCGCUCUCACAGGGUCAGCAAAGUUAUGAAAGUAAUUAAAGCUCCAUGAUUCACCACUUGCUGCAGUGAAAAGAAAGCAAGCUGUCAUUCUGAUUUAGAAAAAUAAAUUACAAUUUUAAUAAUGGUGUAGGGUGGGGGUGUGAGGACGUCUGGAGUCUUGCUUGGUUGAGAGGAGGUGGGGAGUUACACAUGGGGGAGGGGGGGGGGGGUCCGGGGGUUGCUGGCAGCCUACUUAUCAAUAGUUGCAAUUUUUUGAAACCACAUCGGUAGUACAUUGCAGAGAGCACAAGUGCCCUUAAAAAAAGAAAAUCCCGGAACAUUAACAUACUGAUUUCAUGUGCGUGGCAAAGGGCCUGAGCCAAUAUCAGAGAGGACUCAGCACUCCUAUUGUCUGCAGAGACUCUGGUCCCCUCUGAUAUGAAAAUUCAAUUAUUUUAUAACUAGAUCUGGUGCUGCGUUUCGACAGUCGACGGUAGCGCCUUGCCAGCUGCAUCAGUGUGGGGGACCAGAGGCUCCUGAUAGCGAGAGGGAGGCCUUUCACGCCAUCGGCAUGUUUUUGGGGGACAAGAUUACCUAAAUGUGUUGCAUUUAAUGAAUGAAAGUUAAUUUAAUGCCCUGCCAUUAUCUCACUCAGGUAAUUCCAAUACCGUCCCCAAUCUAUGUUUACACACACUCACGCACUUGCGCACUCACUCAUUCUUUAACACUUUGAAUCUGAUUCCCCUACACGCUGUCUGCCUCCAAAUAUGUUAUGUAUAUAUUUAUUUUUCCCUGGUGUGUAUAUGCUUAGAAAGGUAGACACUAUAUCACACUGAAGUCCUUUUCUAUGAGAUGUCAGUCGUUUCCAGGAAGCAAUUUCAUUGGUUUAGAAUAAAUGCAAUGUGCAAUAUCUAUAUUUAUUUUGAAGGUGCAUGAACAUUGUUCAAAUAUGCACACGUUUCCAGUUUGUUUACAAGGUGUCAAGGUAUUUGUUUACGAGGCGAUAAGGUUGUGAGUGCUUUUAUUUAACGCAUAAGGAAAAGGUUUUGGACCUUUACAAAACCAAAUGUCCUUGAGAAAAGCAAUAUUGUAGUAGGUGAAGUGUAGCAAUUUACUGCCGGUAAGCAUGUUAGUAUCUUGUACCAGGCGGAAGUCUUUGUGACGUUACGGAGCUACAGACCUGUAUGUUGCUGCGUUCAUUAUCUAAAGGCCGGCCUUGUCCUAUAUUUUCCCAUCAGAUACAGCGUCGUCACCGGUUGGCUGAGGCUUCACUGUGCUGGCCCCCACGACACCUACAGUCCCCCC
rnacentral:lncRNA from 13 species